GCCCUUAGAGUUUGAUCCUGGCUCAGGACGAACGCUGGCGGCGUGCUUAACACAUGCAAGUCGAACGAAGCAUUUGCGACAGAUUUCUUCGGAUUGAAGUUGCUUAUGACUGAGUGGCGGACGGGUGAGUAACGCGUGGGUAACCUGCCUCAUACAGGGGGAUAGCAGCUGGAAACGGCUGGUAAUACCGCAUAAGCGCACAGUACCACAUGGUACAGUGUGAAAAACUCCGGUGGUAUGAGAUGGACCCGCGUCUGAUAGCUGGUUGGUGGGGUAACGGCCCACCAAGGCGACGAUCAGUAGCCGACCUGAGAGGGUGACCGGCCACAUUGGGACUGAGACACGGCCCAGACUCCUACGGGAGGCAGCAGUGGGGAAUAUUGCACAAUGGAGGGAACUCUGAUGCAGCGACGCCGCGUGAGUGAAGAAGUAGUUCGCUAUGUAAAGCUCUAUCAGCAGGGAAGAUAGAGACGGUACCUGACUAAGAAGCUCCGGC
rnacentral:rRNA from 1 species